UACGUAGGGUGCAAGCGUUGUCCGGAAUUAUUGGGCGUAAAGAGCUCGUAGGCGGUCUGUCGCGUCGGCUGUGAAAACUCGGGGCUACACCUCGGACGCUGCAGUGGUACGGGCAGACUAGAGUGCGGUAGGGGAGACUGGAAUUCCUGGUGUAGCGGUGAAAUGCGCAGAUAUCAGGAGGAACACCGGUGGCGAAGGCGGGUCUCUGGGCC
rnacentral:rRNA from 1 species